rnacentral:rRNA from 1 species
AUUGAACGCUGGCGGCAGGCCUAACACAUGCAAGUCGAGCGGAUGAAGGGAGCUUGCUCCUGGAUUCAGCGGCGGACGGGUGAGUAAUGCCUAGGAAUCUGCCUGGUAGUGGGGGAUAACGUCCGGAAACGGGCGCUAAUACCGCAUACGUCCUGAGGGAGAAAGUGGGGGAUCUUCGGACCUCACGCUAUCAGAUGAGCCUAGGUCGGAUUAGCUAGUUGGUGGGGUAAAGGCCUACCAAGGCGACGAUCCGUAACUGGUCUGUUAGGAUGAUCAGUCACACUGGAACUGAGACACCGUCCAGAAUCGUAGGGGAGGGAGCAGUGUGGAACAUUGGACAAUGGGCGAAAGUCUGAUCCAGCCAUGCCGCGUGUGUGAAGAAGGUCUUCGGAUUGUAAAGCACUUUAAGUUGGGGGGAAGGGCAGUAAGUUAAUAUCUUGCUUUUUUGACGUUACCAACAGAAUAAGCACCGGCUAACUUCGUG